rnacentral:rRNA from 1 species
GAUGAACGCUGGCGGCGUGCUUAACACAUGCAAGUCGAACGAGAAAUGUAGACGGAAACCUUCGGGCGGAAGCCUUCAUUUCGAGUGGCGGACGGGUGAGUAACGCGUGGGUAACCUGCCUCAUACAGGGGGAUAACAGUUGGAAACGACUGUUAAUACCGCAUAAGACCACAGCAUCGCAUGAUGCGGGGGUAAAAACUCCGGUGGUAUGAGAUGGACCCGCGUUCGAUUAGCCAGUUGGCGGGGUAACGGCCCACCAAAGCGACGAUCGAUAGCCGAUCUGAGAGGAGGACCGGCCACAUUGGGACUGAGACACGGCCCAAACUCCUACGGGAGGCAGCAGUGGGGAAUAUUGCACAAUGGGGGAAACCCUGAUGCAGCGACGCCGCGUGAGUGAAGAAGUACUUCGGUAUGUAAAGCUCUAUCAGCAGGGAAGAAAAUGACGGUACCUGAGUAAGAAGCCCCGGCUAACUACGUG